AUCCCUAGCUAACCCCUCACAAUUCCCUCACACGCCGAUUUUCCUUCUUCUCCUUUGUUCUCGCUGUCUCGCUGCUCACCCACGACUCAAGCGCCGCUCCGAUCCUCUCCCUUUUUCUUCCCUAAGCUGCUCUCGUCGUCGCUGCUUCUCUCCCUUGCUCCUCCCUAAUCUACUCUCGUCGGCGCUCCUCUCCCUGUCUCCUCCCUCUGCUCUCGUCAUUGCCGCUCCUCUCCCUUUAUCCUCCCUAAUCUGUUCUCACUGUUGCCGCUCCUUUCACCCACGCUCACGUAUACUUGUGCCGCCGUCGGCCUCCAUCGCGUGUCGCCACCACGAUUACUUCACAGCACUGCCUACACGCCGUGAUUCUGCCUGUCUCCUCCCAAACCCAUUCUCGUCGUCGCGGCUCCCUAAUCUACUCUCAACCUAGAGGUGUUGGUUCUAUAAAAUUACAUUAUUUUAUCUUCCCAAAUUGCUUUUUCUUUCAAAGGGGAUAGAUUGGAAUUCAUUUUUCUAUAGAAAUGAAAUUGAAAUCAAAGGCUCAAUUUGAAGCAGAAUUGGAUGAAGGGACGUGCUUACUAUGGUGGAGCCCUAUCAGAUUGUGUUGUUUACUAGCACAUCUAAUAGGUUAGUAGUCUAAAAAACUUUCAAAGAAUACAAUCCUGGCGCUUUAUUCACAAAUUCUGUGAAAAUAUUGCCUUUCCUUCAUACUUGUCAAUAUUCUAAUAAUAUGCAGUACUUGAUAAAUCAUAGUUCUUAGUAGUUUCAGUAUCAAUGUUGUCCUUAGUAACACUGCUGAAAGACGAAAAUUGGUUUCUAGUGAUUUUCUAAUACUCUUAUCUGCACCACAUUAACAACAGAUAAUGAAGUCGGUAUGUUUCUUACUAGUACCACCUGGACCAGCAAAUUUACUGUAUUUUUAUGGAAUGUUGAUUUCACUGAGUCAAAUUGUAUUUCUUUUGUCAAAUGGAGUUACACAAUAGUAUUAACGCAUACUUUCAACCAUCAAAGUUUUUGAGCCAAGUUGAUAGUUGAUCAUACAUUAUUCUAUUGCUACCUGGUCAUAGAGCCAGUUGUCUUGCUGAUGAAUUUCUUGCGAUCCUAUAGCCUACAACAUAGUCACUGACAGCAACUUGCAUGCAAACAUAUAUGUAAAUUUGGUUAUAUUCCUUCAGUACCAGAUUUUAUUUGAAUCCACAAUAAUUAGAAUUAUACCAAUACAAAUUAACUGAUGGAAAAUAAUAUUAACAAUUGAUUUGAAACAGUGUCCUAUUUGCUUACACUAAUUUGUUUUUCACAUUCUAGGCUAGUAUAAAUGUAUAAUGCCUAAGAGAAUUGCAUGCACCAGCUUUACUCUAAUCAAUUUAAAUGCUAAGUUUCUGUUUAUCAUCUUGACUUAAAGUGGGACAAAAAUGGAUACUUUUCUUCUCAUUUCUCUAUACUGAUCAUGACCUUAUUUGAUUGGAAAAGAUGAUAUAUUUUCCACAUCAAGUUAAUAUAUAUAGCAUGUUGUUGUCUAUCCUUAGAUGUGGUAAUACUCUUCUUCUGAUGACAUUAAGAGUUUAAUAGGGCAUUUUAACUACAAGAUUAGUAUUUUUCUCUAGAUUAAUGCAAUAAUGCCUUCUUAUGAAAGCUUGUUCUUCUGUUAUUAUGCACUCAUCUUUGAAGGAAGAGAGAUUGGGAAGUUUAAGGCGAAUAUUGGAGAUCCAGUUUGAUGGUCUUGUUUGGAUCAUCAAGUACCCCUCUACAUUGAUAAUGACUAUUUAUUUAUUUUUUACAUAGUACCUUCUACAGCCUUUUCGAUAACUGCAAGCUGAUAGAUUUAUGUUGUAGGAUGCUCUGAGACAUCUCUGGCGAGUUGCCUAUCCUAAUAGAGAAAUUCCUCCUCUUAAAUGUAAAUUAUGUAAGGAAAUGGGUUGGCAAGGUUGUGACCCAUCAACAGAUUUUAGGGGUGGUGGCUUCAUAUCCUUGGAAAAUCUCAUUUUUUUGCCAAAAACUAUCUGUCAUGCCAUCUAGAAAAGUUGGAAUUCGGUUCCUGGACUUGCUUGGAGAAGAUUUAGAAAGCUAGAGUGUGAGCUUUCACUAAAAGAUGUGACUAGUGUGAAAGAUUUGCCUGCGUACAACAUGAUGUUAUAGCAACCUGUGAUUCAUUGUUUCAGCUCCCUGUGAGACAGUAAUAUAUAUAUCCUUUGAGAAUUGUGUAUAUCAGUUUUAAGUGAAGUUUAAGAAUUCUCUACUGGUUUUGUUAACAAAACCUACUGUGAAUUACCAAUAAUGUUCAGUUCAUGUAGUCUUUCUUUGA